AUAAAACCAUCGGUUGCCAAAUCAACAUAGUUAGCCGCCUAGUGCACAUCUUAUUCGUUAUUCUUUUGUUCUUAAUGUUGACAAAAUUUAAAAAAGUUGUAAAAUCGAAAAUGUUGUUGAAAUGUUAUCAAAAAGAUGAAGCAUGUAAUUGAUAAUUUCACAAACAAGUGUAGUUAAAGAUAUUAAAAAAAAAACAACGAAAAAAAUUGCAUCCAUAGAAAAAGUGUUAUAACUUGGCCCAUAUAACCAAAACAA
rnacentral:sRNA from 1 species